AAAGAAACUAACAAGGAUUCCCUUAGUAACUGCGAGUGAAGAGGGAAGAGCUCAAAUUUAAAAUCUGGCAGUGUUUUGCUGUCCGAGUUGUAAUCUAGAGAAGUGCUGCCCGUGCUGGACCAUGUACAAGUCUCCUGGAAUGGAGCGUCACAGAGGGUGAGAAUCCCGUCUUUGACAUGGACUACCAGUGCAUUUGUGGUGUGCUCUCAAAGAGUCGAGUUGUUUGGGAAUGCAGCUCUAAAUGGGUGGUAAACUCCAUCUAAAGCUAAAUAUUGGCGAGAGACCGAUAGCGAACAAGUACCGUGAGGGAAAGAUGAAAAGAACUUUGGAAAGAGAGUUAAACAGUAUGUGAAAUUGUUGAAAGGGAAACGCUUAAAGUCAGUCGUGUCGGCCAGGGAUCAACUCAGCUUUCUCUGCUGGGUGUACUUCCUGAUCUGAUGGGCCAACAUCAGUUUUGACUGCUGGAGAAGGAUAGAGGGAAUGUGGCACCUUCGGGUGUGUUAUAGCUCUUUGUCAGAUGCAGUGGUUGGGACUGAGGAAAGCAGCAUGCCGCAAGGCCGGGUCGUUCGACCACGUUCAUGCUGAGGAUGUUGGCAUAAUGGCUUUAAUCGACCCGUCUUGA
rnacentral:rRNA from 1 species